rnacentral:sRNA from 1 species
CCUCAUAGGCUUGUUGAGGACAGAUCAUAUGAAUGUGAGUAUCGGAGCCACCAGCUGUAACAAUUUGUCGUUCCCCAGCUAUCACAUCUGUACAGCUACCAACUAUCAUGUUCGAUGAUACACCGUCCAUAACAUCCGGAUUUCCUGCCUUGCCAAUCCCAGCAAUGACGCCGUCCUUAAUGCCAAUAUCAGCCUUAUAAAUGCCAGACCAGUCAACGAUUAGAGCAUUCGUGAUAAGAGUGUCAAGAGUCUCGUCAUCGCUUCGACCACUUGCUUGUCCCAUGCCUUCACG